GACGAACGCUGGCGGCGUGCUUAACACAUGCAAGUCGAACGGAAAGGCCCUGCUUUUGUGGGGUGCUCGAGUGGCGAACGGGUGAGUAACAUGUGAGUAACCUGCCCUUGACUUUGGGAUAACUUCAGGAAACUGGGGCUAAUACCGGAUAGGAGCUCCUGCUGCAUGGUGGGGGUUGGAAAGUUUCGGCGGUUGGGGAUGGACUCGCGGCUUAUCAGCUUGUUGGUGGGGUAGUGGCUUACCAAGGCUUUGACGGGUAGCCGGCCUGAGAGGGUGACCGGCCACAUUGGGACUGAGAUACGGCCCAGACUCCUACGGGAGGCAGCAGUGGGGAAUAUUGCACAAUGGGCGGAAGCCUGAUGCAGCAACGCCGCGUGCAGGAUGACGGCCUUCGGGUUGUAAACCGCUUUCGCCUGUGACGAAGCGUGAGUGACGGUAAUGGGUAAAGAAGCACCGGCUAACUACGUG
rnacentral:rRNA from 1 species